rnacentral:rRNA from 1 species
AUGGUCUUCCAUAACAUCCUCCCCAAGAUAGGCGCCCACUGGCUCGUCAACUUGUACCGCUCGGCCAGGAAACUCCGCAGCUUGCAGAGCAAGCCAUCUACCGUUGCCGCCUCCGGGUGCACCAUCCCGGCCGCUGCCGGAAGGACGGUGCUGUACGACUUCCACGGCGGGAUCCUGAGGUCCAGAGCUCUCUUCCCCUACUUCAUGCUCGUCGCCUUUGAGGGCGGUAGCUUUCUCCGGGCGCUACUCCUCCUCGUCUUCUUUCCUCUCGUAUGGAUACUCGGCGAGCACUCCGACGCCAGCCUCAGGGUCAUGGCGUUCGUCACCUUCGUCGGACUCAGGCCACGGGACGCUAACCUCGUGGCCCGCGCCAUCCUGCCCAAGUUCUACAUGGAGAAGCUCAACGCGGAGGUGUACGAUCGCUUGUGGCUGCCGGCGAAGAGGAAGGUGGCGGUGACGAGCACGCCGAAGGUGAUGGCGGAGUGGUUCCUCAAAGAGUACAUGGCCGCGGACAUAGUUGUCGGGAAUGAACUUCAGAUGAUUAAGGUUGGUCGCCGCUGCUACUUCACCGGGCUGCUGGGCAGGUUAGGGCCAUUGCCGGGCGGCAUGACGGAGAAGGUCCUGAGGUCGGAGUUUGGAGUGGACGGCGGCAUGGCCGACCUUGCCGUUGUCGGGAGCUCCAACCCACUUAAUCACCACUUCACCUCCUACUGCAAGUUCUACUCAUAUAUCACCCGAUCAAGUUAG